UACAGAGGGUGCAAGCGUUAAUCGGAAUUACUGGGCGUAAAGCGUGCGUAGACGGUUGCGUAAGUCAGAUGUGAAAGCCCCGGGCUUAACCUGGGAAUGGCAUUCGGGACUGCAAGGCUGGAGUGCGGCAGAGGAGACUGGAAUUCCUGGUGUAGCAGUGAAAUGCGUAGAUAUCAGGAGGAACACCGAUGGCGAAGGCAGGUCUCUGGGCUGACACUGACGCUCAUGCACGGAAGCGUGGGGAGCAAACAGG
rnacentral:rRNA from 1 species